CAAACAAGCAAUCAUCAGACAAGGAAGGAAAUUAAAAGGAACCGACGUCUACAUCAACGAAAACCUCACAAAGAAGAACGCGGACAUCGCAAGGAAAGCACGCAUCCUAAGAAAACAAAACAAGAUUCAAGCAACAUGGACUUCAAACUGCGAAGUAUUCAUUAAACUGAAUGGAACCACUCCUGAGUCAGCGAAAGUGCUCCUCGUCAGAGACGUUACCGAGCUGGAUAAGUUCGAGGUAUGAAAGAAAAAAACACAAGGACUGUUACCGGGAGGUGUGUGUGAGGAAGACGGGCUGCUAGCAGGCUGAGCUUAAACUUUGCACCCUUGGAAGCAGAAGGAGGACUGUUACCGCGAGGUGUGUGUGUG
ensembl:lncRNA